CCCAAAUCUUUUCCUCCCUCUCUCCAUCUCCUCCCCUCAACCCCAUCGUCGACCACCCACGAGCACGAGCCCGCCACCGGUACGUCCAGCUCCAUCGCCGAUUCUUUGGCCAAAGGAGGAGGAUCCUUAAUUUCAACGAGAAGACGACGUUCUGAUAAGGGUCGAAGCCGCCGCGCUGAACCGAGCCGAUACCUUUCGGCGGAAAGGCUCGCACCCACCUCCUCUUGAGGGUGCGAGCCCCUACCUGGGCAUCGAGUGUUCCGGGACCAUCCUAGCCGUCGAAUAAAGCGUUUCCCGCUGGAAAAUCGACGACCAGUUGUGCUCAUUUAACCACUCUUUGGAGGGAUUCAAUUGUUGUCCUCUGUUUGGAAAUACAAUACGAGGCAAAAAGAGCAAAGACCUUGUCCAAAUUCAAGAAUAUUUUGCAUGGUACAUAGAGAAGCAAAAGAACCACUGCGAACAAUUGAUAGAGCUCUCUAGAGGGUCCAAAAAUUGUAAAAUUGUUUUGGAAUGAACUGUUUUUGAGCUUUUACUCUAGGAAAAAGCCAUUAGAUUCAUGUAUUUUGGAAGAUGUAAAAGCAUGGCUAACUUGCCUUCUACCUUACCUAGGAACUUGCUGUUAUGUGAUGUUUUUGUGCACGAAUUUGGUUUGUUCUAUUUUACAUAUUUAAUUAAUCCAGAAA